rnacentral:rRNA from 1 species
AGUGAACGCUGGCGGUAUGCCUAACACAUGCAAGUCGAACGGCAGCACAGUAAGUGCUUGCUCUUACGGGUGGCGAGGGGCGGGCGGGGGAGGAAUACAUCGGAAUCUACUUUGUCGUGGGGGAUAACGUAGGAAAACUUACGCUAAUACCACAUACGUCCUACGGCUGAAAGCAAUGGAACUUCUAAGCUCGCUGGGUUGACUGAGCGUAUGUCGGAUUAGCUGGUUAGGGAGGUAAGCGCCCACGAAGGCGAGGAUCCGUGGCUGGUCUGAGAGGAUGGUCAGCCACACUGGGACUGAGACCCGGUCCAGGCUCCUACGGGAAGCAGCCUUGGGGCAUAUUGGACAAAGGGCGGAAAACUGAUCCAGCCAUACCGCGUGGGUGAAGAAGGCCUUCGGGUUGUACAACCCUUUUGUUCGGAAAGAAAAGCAGCAGGUUAAUACACCGAUGUUCUGACGGUACCAAAAGAAUAAGCACCGGCUAACUUCGUG